AGGACUUGACAUGAAGAGAAGUCUUUGAAAGAAAGAUGUGCUAAGAACUCUUACAC
rnacentral:rRNA from 1 species